AGUUGGAACCGCCGAGGGCUUGGGAACCCUCAGACAGUUCGAGAGCUUCGCAAGAUUGUGAAGCAAGAAGGUCCCUCCCUUCUGUUCGUAAUGGAAACCAAGAUAAAGGGAAAAAGAGUGGAAGACCUGAAAUUCAGUUUAGGCUUCUUUGGUUGUUUUGUCAUCGAUAGCAACGGGCUUAGUAGUGGCAUCGGACUGUUUUGGUCUAGAGAUGUCGAUGUUACUCUAUUCAGUCAAUCUCAUAUUGAUGUAUCUAUCAAACAGGAUAAUAAAACUUGGCGUUUCGUCGGUUUCUAUGGAGCGCCCCGAGUGGAGAAUAGGCAUUACAGUUGGCGAUUUCUCCGCACGCUUUUUGCUGUACCGCAUGAGGCAUUGAUCUGCAUGGGUGAUUUUAAUGAAACAUUGCAACACUAG
rnacentral:rRNA from 1 species